UCAUCCAAUCAAAAUUCAUCUAAUUCUUUCAUUCUCCAAGAAAAUAUGUACAUGCGUUGCAUAUGUACAUACAUACACUUAUAAUACAAAUUUUAAACAAAAAUCCUUUCCUUUCCCUCACCAAGAGCCGUCCCCCCUCCUUUUUUCCAAUACAACUCCACCAAUCAAUGAUCAACUAGCUUUACUCUUCCAACACAUUAUCCCUUUACACCAUUUUUCACACACACUAAUUAUUCUAUUUUCUCACAACACAUUUCUCUCUCUCAAAAAAAAACUCCAUCUUUUCCCCUCUUCUUCUUGAUAUUUCGGCCAUCCAAAAAGGAAGGAGAAAACACAACCUAAAAUCAAUACAAACUUAUAUUAAUAAUAAGGGAUAGAUUAGAUUAAGCAAGGGUUACAUUAAGAUAUAGAUUAAGGGUUGUUCCAAGGUUUGAAUAAGGGUUAUUGGAGCUAUUUAGGCCACGAAAAAUCUGCAUCUUUUCUUCAUCAAAAAGUAUUCUUCAAGGGCCUGCUCGGGAAUCAACACCUCUUAGGCCAAGGAAAUCUAAUUUGAUCAGCCCCUAAACUCUUCAAUCAAGUUUAGAGCAGUAAAUAGCUUUAAGGACCGCCUCUUGGACGAUGUACUUGUUUGUUAUGAGAUGGCUUGUAAUGCAAACAAUUAUCUUUUGAUUUGGAUUUGGUUUAUGUAAUGGUAUUUUAAAACAUUGAUUUGAACUAUGUAACCUUAUGAUUUGGGAUGAUGUUUAAGACUUUAAUGAUGAUGUUUUCUAUUUAA